CCCAAAUUGAAUAGAACGGGUUUCUUAAUUGCACACCGCGUUCGCACAUGUCAAACACAAAUAAUGAUAGACAUCCGAUACCUACUGCAGACAGAUGUCGCCAGUAGCAUUUUAAAGAGUUCCUUUGUUCACCUUCCUAAAUAACAAAUGUGUUAUAGAAAUUGUAGUUUAACGAUACUUUACUAUAAACGUCUAAAAGGUUAUGUAGGUCACCUUGGGAGCGGGAACGCAAAACAUGGUGUAACCCUUCAUAAAAUCAUAACAAAACAAACUCACCUGUAUCUGUUUGAGUAAGGGAUAACAUCAAAUACAAGCCAGAAAGACAAAAGAAUGGCAUAAAACACUCCUUGUCGAAUAUCACCCAAUAGAAGCAUGAAUGGCAUAUCAUAGGCAAGUGUUAAAUACUCCAAAGGCACUGAAAAGUACAAAAUUAUAGUUAGGCAUGA